rnacentral:rRNA from 1 species
AGCGGCGGGCGUGGUUCAUGAAGGUGCUGGGCAUCGACUUUCUCAAGAUCUUGAGUUAUAUGGAAGUAGAUAGAAUGUGUAGUGUAGCGGUGAAAUGCAUAGAUAUUACACAGAAUACCGAUUGCGAAGGCAGUCUACUACGUAUAUACUGACGCUAAUGGACGAAAGCGUGGGGAGCGAACAGGAUUAGAUACCCUGGU